rnacentral:sRNA from 1 species
CUAAAUCGGGCGAUCUUGAGGGCCAGU